rnacentral:rRNA from 1 species
UCAGUCGACUCCUACGGGAGGCAGCAGUGGGGAAUAUUGCACAAUGGGCGCAAGCCUGAUGCAGCCAUGCCGCGUGUAUGAAGAAGGCCUUCGGGUUGUAAAGUACUUUCAGCAGUGAGGAAGGUGGGUAUGUUAAUAGCAUAUUCAUUUGACGUUAGCUGCAGAAGAAGCACCGGCUAACUCCGUGCCAGCAGCCGCGGUAAUACGGAGGGUGCGAGCGUUAAUCGGAAUUACUGGGCGUAAAGCGCAUGCAGGUGGUUUGUUAAGUCAGAUGUGAAAGCCCCGGGGCUCAACCUCGGAAUUGCAUUUGAAACUGGCAAACUAGAGUACUGUAGAGGGGGUAGAAUUUCAGGUGUAGCGGUGAAAUGCGUAGAGAUCUGAAGGAAUACCGGUGGCGAAGGCGGCCCCCUGGACAGAUACUGACACUCAGAUGCGAAAGCGUGGGGAGCAAACAGGAUUAGAUACCCUGGUAG